rnacentral:rRNA from 1 species
UACGUAGGAUCCAAGCGUUGUCCGGAUUUACUGGGUGUAAGGGCGUGUAGGUGGGCUCUUAAGUCGGUGGUGAAAACUUGCAGCUCAACUGUAAACUUGCCGUCGAAACUGGGAGUCUUGAGUGCGGAAGAGGGAAGCGGAAUUCAUGGUGUAGCGGUGAAAUGUGUAGAUAUCAUGAAGAACACCGGUAGCGAAGGCGGCUUCCUGGUCCGUUACUGACACUGAGGCGCGAAAGCGUGGGGAGCAAACAGG